rnacentral:piRNA from 2 species
UGGAGAGGAACAAUUCUGAGUCU